AAGAAGACAGAAUGAGCACACGGUGGAUGCCUGGGCGAUACGUGCCGAAGAAGGACGGGGCAUCGCACCGAAAUGCGGCGGGGAGCAGCGAGCAUGCAUUAAUCCGCCGAUGUCCGAAUGGGGCAACCCGCUACAUCUGUAGCACCACCUCUGGUGGGGGGCACCGGGCCAACUGAAACAUCUCACGUAGCCCGAGGAAGAGUGAACAACACCCGUAGUAGUGGCGAACGAACCGGGUGCAGCCCAAACCAACAACGUGUCAAGCUGGUAGGCGUUGCGUUGUUGGGGUUGGAGGACGUCCAAAGCUGGCUACCACCAGCGACACCGGAAUGCAUUGGGAGCCAAAAGCGUUUGGAAUACGCUGCCAGAGACCGUGACAGCCGGGUCGGCAAACCAUGCAGGCGGUGGGACUGUUCCUGAGUAUGACCAGGCACGAAGUACCUGGUCUGAAGCUGGGCCGACCACGGUCCAAGGCAACCUACACGUAUCGACCGAUAGCGCAUAGUACCGUGAGGGAACGGUGAAAAGUACCCCGGCGAGGGGAGUGAAAGAGUACCUGAAACCGUGUGCUUCCAUGCCGUAGGAGGGCGAGUAAGCGCCUGACUGCGUGCCUUUUGGAGUAUGAUCCGGCGAGUUACCCGUCGUGGCAGGUUAAGGCAGUUGCAGCCGGAGCCACAGUGAAAGCGAGCCUGAACAGGGCGUUAGUCGCGGCGGGUAGACCCGAAACCGUGUGAGCUACCCAUGGGCAGGCUGAGGCGUCCCUAACAGGACGUGGAGGGCCGAACCGGUGUCUGUUGCAAAAGGCUCGGAUGACCUGUGGGUAGGGGUGAAAUGCCAAUCGAACACGGAGAUAGCUGGUUCUCCCCGAAAUGCAUUGAGGUGCAGCCAUCGGCUGCGACCCGUUGAGGUAGAGCACUGUUGUUGUGCGGGGGCUUCACCGCUUACCAAGCGACGGCAAACUACGAAUGCGACGGGUCGGCACGAUGAGUGAGACGGCGAGUGCAAACAUCCGUCGUCAAGAGGGAAACAACCCAGAUCUGCUGCUAAGGUCCCCAAGUAACCGCUGAGUGGGAAAGGUUGUGUCGUUGCGCAGACAACCAGGAGGUUGGCUUAGAAGCAGCCACCCUUAAAAGAGUGCGUAACAGCUCACUGGUCAAGUGACGAUGCGCCGAUGCUGUAACGGGGCAAAGCGGUUCACCGAAGCACAGAACGUCAGCACUGACGUGGUAGGGGAGCGUCGCUACAACGUUGAAGCACGAGCGGAAGCCCGUGUGGAGUGGUAGCGAGUGCGAAUGCCGGAAUGAGUAACAGAGAAGUGGGGUGCGAACCCCCACCACCGAAAGCCUAAGGGUUCCGCCGCAAGGGUGAUCCGCGGCGGGUUAGUCGGGCCUAAGGCGUAGGCGCAAGCCGUAGCCGAUGGACAACAGGUAGACAUUCCUGUACCACAGUGGUUCCGUUUGACGAAUGCAGGAGACUGAGGGGCAGGUCGCGCGGUGAGACGAGCACCGUCCAAGCCGGUAGGGAGACUGCGGUCGAAAACCCGUGGUCGUUGACCGAGAGGCGAUAGGGAGGCGGGGCUAACUACCCACGCCAACGCGAUUGCGCCUGUGCAGGCGAGAAAUGCCUGCUACGGAGGAACUAUGUGCCCGUACCGCAAACCGACACAGGUAGGCACGUUGAGGAAACGCAGGUGGACGAGUGAUCCCUGGUUAAGGAACUCGGCAAAUUACUCCCGUACCUUCGGAAGAAGGGAGGCUGCGUCCGUGUGAAGGCUGUACAGCCGGAGCACGGGGCAGUGACACAAACCAGGCCCAGGCGACUGGAUACCAGAACCACAGCUCUCUGCUGAAGCCGCAAGGCGACGUAUAGAGGGUGAUGCCUGCCCAGUGCCGGAAGGUUAAGGGGAGGCGUGCAAGCGCCGAACCGAAGCCCCGGUGAACGGCGGCUGUAACUAUAACAGUCCUAAGGUAGCGAAAUUCCUUGUCGGGUAAGUUCCGACCCGCACGAAAGGCAUCACGAUCUGGGCACUGUCUCGACCAGGGGCUCGGUGAAAUUGCAGGGGCCGUGAAGAUGCGGCCAACGCGUAGCAGGACAAAAGACCCGUGGAGCUUUACUACAACUUGCCA
rnacentral:rRNA from 1 species